UCGCGUUAAAACGAUAUUCAC
rnacentral:siRNA from 1 species